rnacentral:tRNA from 1 species
GCGGCUAUGGCGUAAUUGGCAGGCGCGACAGACUCAAAAUCUGUUGGUGAAAAUCCGUGUGGAUUCGAGUUCCACUAGCCGCACCA